rnacentral:tRNA from 2 species
GUGAUAAUGCCAGAAGUGUAUGGGACUGGUUUAGGACCAGUUUAUGGUCUUUAGACCUUUUCACU